rnacentral:rRNA from 1 species
UACGGAGGGUGCAAGCGUUGUCCGGAAUCACUGGGCGUAAGGGCGCGUAGGCGGCUCAUGAAGGCUGUGGUGAAAGUCCGGGGCUCAACCUCGGAUCGGCCGUGGCGACUCGUGGGCUGGAGCACUGUAGAGGCGGGUGGAAUUCCGGGUGUAGCGGUGGAAUGCGUAGAGAUCCGGAAGAACACCGGUGGCGAAGGCGGUUAGCUGGGCAGUUGCUGACACUGAGGCGCGACGAGCGUGGGGAGCAAACAGGG